UACGGAGGGAGCUAGCGUUGUUCGGAUAUACUGGGCGUAAAGCGCACGUAGGCGGCGCAGCAAGUCAGGGGUGAAAUCCCGGAGCUCAACUCCGGAACUGCCUUUGAAACUGCAGUGCUAGAAUUCUGGAGAGGCGAGUGGAAUUCCGAGUGUAGAGGUGAAAUUCGUAGAUAUUCGCAAGAACACCAGUGGCGAAGGCGGCUCACUGGCCCGAUACUGACGCUGAGGCACGAAAGCGUGGGGAGCAAACAGG
rnacentral:rRNA from 1 species